rnacentral:lncRNA from 1 species
UGGUGAUUAGAACCAGAAAUUUGAGGAAAUUACACUUAGAGCUAAAAAUUCCAGAUUUCUGGAAAAUUUCCCAAGCAUUCUGUCCGAAAUUGUACCUAUAUGUUAGAGGCCGAAUUGGCCUUUGGUCAAAGAAGGAAAGUUGUAUAGAAUGGUGUUUUAUAAGUGCCUGUAAAAUUUCAGCUCAAUCGGAGCAACGUAGGACGUGAAAAGUCCAAAAUACCCCUACUGUUUUAAGAAUUUCCCAGCAGUCCGUUUCUUCAGUUCAGUCCAGUUUAUCACGAUUUUUGACCAGGAUCCAUUCUGAUUUAGCUCUGGGCCAAAACAUAAAAGUUGUAGUGUUCUGAAGUAGAUUUAAAAUGCCUCAAAGAAAACCUGAUUC